CCAGCCUCGGGCUGGCUGUUGACAGAAGCGCGCAAGGUGCAUCUUUAUGCUCUACAUCAAACGCCUUUGACACAGACUUAAAAAAGUCUAUGUAAAGCAGCUAAUGGUGCUCGCUCUUCCGGCUGAGUAAGUCGGGGAACCAGAUUUUGCUGGAAGUAGAAGCCCUUUGCUCUGAGAACUGAUCUUUACUGCAUCAGAGUGAUGGAUGUCUUGGUGCAGCCCAGGUCUGGACAUUCAUAGCACAGUGUGAUCUCCAUGCUACUGGAGGAGCUGGUGAAGGUCCAUAACUCCAGAAAAGCAGGCUCUGCCCUGAUGUGCUAGUGUUAGCAGCCUGUGGAUUUCUGAGCCAAGCUGAAAUGGGGUCUCGGGGCGGCCAACCUAAGGCGGGCAAGAAGAGAUGGCAGCGUGAAGCAGAGGAGGAGGACAGAAAUAAGAUCAAGUGAAGGGAGGGCAGAGCUUAGAGGAAGGAACACAAGGCAACAGUUUUACAUUAUGGACCCGCUGCCACCCAACUUGCUAUGCAGAGCGAUGUGCUUUCCUGCAAAGGGCUGCGGCAGACGGGUGAUGUUGGCUGGAAAAAGGGGCUCACUUUGAAGUGAUUCAGGCCCUGGGUUGUCCAGAUUCAGCAUCAUUGUGCUCUCUCAGGGAAAUGUAAUCUAAUUUUAGGAAGAGGAGGAAACAAAGUAAACGUGACUGAACUGCGCUGCACCUCCGCACCGUCCGAGACCGCGUCCCCGGGAAUAUCCCUGGGCAACUUUCUUCAUUUUCCUUCUUUUUUAGACACCAAUUUUGGUGCAUACUAGCCAAGAGAGGAAAAAAAGGGUGGUAGUUCUGCCUGUGAAAUGAUAUGCUUUGGUGGAUGGCCCAAACUAACUACUGCUUGCAAACCCCAGAUUAAAAAAAGAAGACUGAUGUAAUUUUAAAGCCAGCCAACUGCCUUAGUGACUGUAUCAGAAGAUUAAAAACAAAGGUUUCAUUGAAGCACUACCUCCCACUGUGCAGCUGA
rnacentral:lncRNA from 1 species